GUUUCCUGGGAGUCCUGCCUGUGACGACUGUGCUGCGAUCCCUUCCAGACUGGGACUGUACAGAGAUCCUGUGUAUAGUGUACAUUCCUUUGCCUCCCCCAUCCAGUCUCUCAAGAGGGUGUAUGGAUGGAGGUGGUCAGUGAGAUUCACAACGUUGGAGAACGGCUUAUUCUACCUAAUAUUUAUCAUUUCAUUCACUCUGACAGGAGACUAAGCGGGAGGUUGAAAGAGAGCCGAGAGGAACAUUUACCAAGAGUUUGUGUUGGCGCGGGACGCAUGGAAGUAUUCCUCACAGUUCACCUAACUGAUUUCCUGUUAUGGAACUAUGGCACCCAUCACCAUUGACCUCUCAGCAACUGGAAAGAUGAGCCAUUGGGUGUGGCCCACGAGAGGGAACCCGGUAGAGGGUGAGAAGCUAGGUCAUGGGUGCCCCUGGAGAGGUUGAGAAGUGAGAACAUACUUUGGAGGAUCAUCUAUUACUUGUCUCUUGUUGCAUCCCAAACCAUCUUAAACCAUCUCAAACUAUUCCAACCCAUCCCAAGGGAGAUGCUGCACGCUUGCCUGUUGUCACCUGGAUGUAUCUAGCAGCAUUGAGAAAACGCCUCUCUGGAACACAACCACAUCAUUCCUUUUUUCUUUUUAAAAUAUGCUCGUCUGCAUGGAGCCUCUACAUACAAAACCCUGCCUUGCCUUGAAAGCCCUGAAGAAAACGCUAAGGACUCACAAACGGAGGCACACGGGUAUCUCUUCAGUCUCUUUUCUGUCCUCCCCGCACCCUUUUCUCUCCUCCGAGGAACGCCAGGAAGGGUUAGGUUAUUACGUUAAAUAAUAAUUCCCGGCGUUUGGCUCUUGCUUUCUGCCUGCCUUGGAUACGGGACUGUGUUUGCUCAGGGAAAAUGGGUCACAGAUUGCUGAAGGGGCUCCUCACGGUGCGGUGGUUAAGAGCUGUUUGUUUUUCAAAUACCUUAAUUGUAUGGUCUACCAGAAAAGAACAGCACUGAAAAUUAUACCUCUGCACUAACUGCAACCAGAUGGACAAAAACAACAAGGCGUUUGAAAAAGAUAAAUGCCCCGCAGUCCCCCUGUGGCUGGUUUUAUCGCCAGUUAAUUUCAUAAUGGCUUCUUCUGGAGCAGGGGGGUGGGGGUGGGGACAGGGAGUGGAUAUUCCACUGGGGUGGGAGCGGGGCCUCGGCAGCAGGCAGGCAGCUUCCAGAGGGAGGGUCCUCCUUGCAGCCGAUGUGCAGCUCAAGGACACAGAAGAUAAAGCUGCUCCUGGAAGAAUAUUCUGUGCCGGGUGAGGGUCAUGUGGAUGCUGGGUGAGGCCGACUUCACGAUCUUUGGUCCUUCUUCCAGGACCGCAAUGUCCAGGCUACAGAUCAGCCCUGUGGGUGCGCAGUAAAACCCCAGUGACCAGCUUGCCAAACCGUUUUCAACCCACACGUUCUUAUUAUAUGUCACUCUUACAGUAUAGAGUAAACACACUGGAUUCAGGGACUGUGAGGGAGGUGUGGGGAGAGAGUCCUGAAAGAUGCCGACAAGGAACUCCUUGACCCUCUCUCAGGCAGCAGCUAUGGGAGCAGGGACUAGCUACAGACCUCAUUUUGCAAAAAGAGUUCUCCGUCUCCUGCCCCAUCAUCAACUCUGACCCCAUUGCCACCAAGAGGAAGUCACUGAAAAUGGAGAACAAGGAAGCGAAGUGUGGAUUCUCCUGGGGUAAAGGAAGACCAGGAAAGUAAAAACAAAAUGGCCAGUCAGUUACCAAUGCUGCUUCUUUCCUUCUGGAACCGUGUCUGUUCAAUCCGUCGGGUCUCUGUGCUUACAUGAUUCAAUAGUAACAAUUCCCUAGCUAUCCCGAUGGACUUUUUUCUCACAAGGUUUUUCUCUCAAACCUUUUUCGGCUCUGGGGCUCGCCCUAGCCAGAAACAUCAUCAGACUGCAUGCCUUAAAUAGCUUCUCUGCUGUAUGUCAAUUAAAUCUCAAUAAAGCUGGUUUUAA